UGGGGAAUAUUGCACAAUGGAGGGAACUCUGAUGCAGCGACGCCGCGUGAGUGAUGAAGGACUUCGUUUCGUAAAACUCUGUUCUAUGGGAAGAAAAGGACUGUACCAUAGGAGAAAGCUCCGGCUAAAUACGUGCCAGCAGCCGCGGUAAUACGUAUGGAGCGAGCGUUGUCCGGAAUUAUUGGGCGUAAAGGGUGCGCAGGCGGCUUUACAAGUUGGAUGUGAAAUAUUGUGGCUCAACCACAAACGUGCAUCCAAAACUGCAAAGCUUGAGUUAAGGAGAGGUAAGUGGAAUUCCUGGUGUAGCGGUGGAAUGCGUGGAUAUCAGGAGGAGUACCGGUGGCGAGGGCGACUUACUGGACUUAAACUGACGCUCAGGCACGAAAGCGUGGGGAGCAAACAGG
rnacentral:rRNA from 1 species